rnacentral:rRNA from 1 species
UACGUAGGGUGCAAGCGUUUAAUCGGAAUUACUGGGCGUAAAGCGUGCGCAGGCGGUUGUGUAAGUCUGACGUGAAAUCCCCCGGGCUCAACCUGGGAAUUGCGUUGGAGACUGCACGGCUAGAAUCUGGCAGAGGGGGGGUAGAAUUCCACGUGUAGCAGUGAAAUGCGUAGAGAUGUGGAGGAACACCGAUGGCGAAGGCAGCCCCCCUGGGCUAAGAUUGACGCUCAUGCACGAAAAGCGUGGGGAGCAAACAGG